UACGGAGGGUGCAAGCGUUAAUCGGAAUUACUGGGCGUAAAGCGCGCGUAGGCGGCUAGAUAAGUCGGAUGUGAAAGCCCCGGGCUCAACCUGGGAACUGCAUUCGAUACUGUUUGGCUAGAGUAUGAGAGAGGGAGGUAGAAUUCCACGUUUAGCGGUGAAAUGCGUAGAUAUGUGGAGGAAUACCGGUGGCGACGGCGGCCUCCUGCCUUAAUCCUGACGCUGAGGUGCGACAGCGUGGGGAGCAAACAGG
rnacentral:rRNA from 1 species